UACAGAGGGGGCAAGCGUUGUUCGGAAUUACUGGGCGUAAAGCGCACGUAGGCGGAUCAGCAAGUUAGGGGUGAAAUCCCGGGGCUCAACCCCGGAACUGCCUUUAAGACUGUUGGUCUGGAGUCCGAGAGAGGUGAGUGGAAUUCCGAGUGUAGAGGUGAAAUUCGUAGAUAUCCGGAGGAACACCAGUGGCGAAGGCGGCUCACUGGCUCGGUACUGACGCUGAGGUGCGAAAGCGUGGGGAGCAAACAGG
rnacentral:rRNA from 1 species